rnacentral:lncRNA from 1 species
GUUAUAUAUAUACAUAUUCAUGGAUCUACAAUCUGUCGAUACCUGUAUCUUGGCAUUGCACAAGGUCAUGUUUUUCUCUAGCUGUUUAUGAUGUGUUUACACUAAAUCCAUUGGAUGUUGGAUGUGUACGGAUUGAUAUUUUAGUCUUAGAUGCAUGAUUUUUUUUAUUAGUUGUUAGUGGCUUUGAACUAGCUGUCAGAUAACUGCGAGUACUCUCAGAUUUGUUCAUUGUGUCUUUUUGUGUCGGGAUGUAUAAGUACCCGGCCACGUCCACUUAUAUUUUUGUCCAUCUGAUGAGUUAAGCCAUUU